AAAUAUCACAUCUCACACAAGGAGAGGCUCCGGGUCCAGCACUGCCACAUCAAGCACCUGGCAGAGAGGCUAUGGACAUUUUUCUCUAUGGUGAGUGUGCGGCUGAUGUAUCAUUUGUGGGUGACCACAUGGAGACAGUUUAAGAUUGUGAUUCCACUUUCCUGUUGAUAAGGAUGGAAGAUUCAUAAGGAAUACUGUUCCUCAAUUCUUCUGAGUGAUGUUAUAAACAUGAUGGCUUCUGAGCAGUCUGAAUGAUUUUUAUAAUCACCAAAGCAGAAUAACUAGGAGGUCAGAGUGG